AGCGAACGCUGGCGGCAGGCUUAACACAUGCAAGUCGAACGCAUCCUUCGGGGUGAGUGGCAGACGGGUGAGUAACACGUGGGAACAUACCUUUUGGUUCGGAAUAACUCAUGGAAACGUGAGCUAAUACCGGAUACGCCCUUUUGGGGAAAGAUGUAUUGCCGAAAGAUUGGCCCGCGUCUGAUUAGCUGGUUGGUGAGGUAAUGGCUCACCAAGGCGACGAUCAGUAGCUGGUCUGAGAGGAUGAUCAGCCACACUGGGACUGAGACACGGCCCAGACUCCUACGGGAGGCGGCAGUGGGGAAUAUUGGACAAUGGGCGCAAGCCUGAUCCAGCCAGGCCGCGUGAGUGAUGAAGUCCUUAGAGUUGUAAAGCUCUUUUAUCCGGGAAGUUAAUGACUGUACCGGAAGAAUAAGCCCCGGCUAACUUCGUGCCAGCCGCCGCCGUAA
rnacentral:rRNA from 1 species